GGUGAAUGAUGAUAGAGCAGUACUGAGAGACUGUGAAGGUCUUAUUAGCUAUGACACUC
ensembl:snoRNA